GUGCUUGCUUUGGAAGCACAUUCACUAAAAUGGGAACAAUACAGAGCAGAUUAGCAUGGCCCCUGCAGAAGGAUGACAUACAAAUUCAUGAAAUGUUCCUAUUUUUG